UACGUAGGGGGCGAGCGUUGUCCGGAAUUACUGGGCGUAAAGCGCACGUAGGCGGUCUUUUAAGUCGGGGGUGAAAUCCUGGAGCUCAACUCCAGAACUGCCUUCGAUACUGGAAGACUUGAGUCCGGGAGAGGUGAGUGGAACUGCGAGUGUAGAGGUGAAAUUCGUAGAUAUUCGCAAGAACACCAGUGGCGAAGGGCGGCGACC
rnacentral:rRNA from 1 species